rnacentral:pre_miRNA from 1 species
AGUGGAAGUGCUGGGUAAUGUGGUGUAAUGUUUUAAGAAACUACCAAACUGUUUGCCACAGUGGUUGCACCAUUUCCCAUUUCCACCAGCAAU